GGGCGGCUAGCUCAGCUGGUUAGAGCACCUCGUUUACACCGAGGGGGUCGGGGGUUCGAAUCCCUCGCCGCCCA
rfam:Phenylobacterium sp. RIFCSPHIGHO2_01_FTLL_69_31 rifcsphigho2_01_scaffold_585, whole genome shotgun sequence.